GACGAACGCUGGCGGCGUGCUUAACACAUGCAAGUCGAACGGAAAGGCCCUGCUUUUGUGGGGUGCUCGAGUGGCGAACGGGUGAGUAACACGUGAGUAACCUGCCCUUGACUUUGGGAUAACUUCAGGAAACUGGGGCUAAUACCGGAUAGGAGCUCCUGCUGCAUGGUGGGGGUUGGAAAGUUUCGGCGGUUGGGGAUGGACUCGCGGCUUAUCAGCUUGUUGGUGGGGUAGUGGCUUACCAAGGCUUUGACGGGUAGCCGGCCUGAGAGGGUGACCGGGGACAGUGGGAGAGCGCUACGGGCCAGAGUGGGAGGGGGGGCAGCAGGGGGGAGUGGUGCAGGAGGGGGGGCGGGCGGGGGGAGCACGGGGGAGUGGGGUGUGACGGCCUCAUGGUGGAUGGAGUCAUGCGGCGGUGAGGAGGCUGGAUGGACGGUGAGGGAUAGAGAGGCACGGGGAAACUACGUGAGGGCAGGGGAGGGAAUAAGGGAGUAGGCCUGUGUCGAAC
rnacentral:rRNA from 1 species